UACGUAGGUGGCAAGCGUUGUCCGGAUUUAUUGGGUUUAAAGGGUGCGUAGGCGGUUUUGUAAGUCAGUGGUGAAAUACUCCAGCUUAACUGGAGGGGUGCCAAUGAUACUGCAGAACUUGAGUACAGAUGAGGUAGGCGGAAUUGACGGUGUAGCGGUGAAAUGCAUAGAUAUCGUCAAGAACACCGAUAGCGAAGGCAGCUUACUGGGCUGUAACUGACGCUGAGGCACGAAAGCGUGGGAAGCAAACAGG
rnacentral:rRNA from 1 species